CCUACGGGAGGCUGCAGUGGGGAAUAUUGCACAAUGGGGGAAACCCUGAUGCAGCAAAGCCGCGUGAAGGAAGACGGUUUUCGGAUUGUAAACCUCUGUUCUUAGUGAAGAAUAAUGACGGUAGCUAAGUAGCAAGUUACGGCUAACUACGUGCCAGCAGCCGCGGUAAUACGUAGGUGGCCAGCGUUGUCCGGAAUUACUGGGUGUAAAGGGAGCGCAGGCGGGAUGCCAAGUCAGCUGUGAAAACUACGGGCUUAACUUGGAGACUGCAGUUGAAACUGGGGUUCUUGAGUGAAGAAGGGGUGGGCGGAAUUCCGGGUGUAGCGGUGAAAUGCGUAGAUAUUCGGAGGAACACCGGUGGCGAAGGCGGCCAACUGGGCUUUAACUGACGCUGAGGCUCGAAAGUGUGGGGAGCAAACAGGAUUAGAUACCCCAGUAGUC
rnacentral:rRNA from 1 species